CUAUACAUGCAAGUCGAACGGUAACAGGGAUAGCAAUAUCCGCUGACGAGUGGCGCACGGGUGCGUAACACGUAUGCNACCUACCUAUUACAGUGGGAUAGCCCGGAGAAAUUCGGAUUAAUACCGCAUGAUAAUAUUGAAAGGCAUCUUUUGAUAUUUAAAAUUUUCAAUGGUAAUAGAAGGGCAUGCGGCUGAUUAGCUAGUUGGUAGUGUAAUGGACUACCAAGGCAACGAUCAGUAGGGGUUCUGAGAGGAAGGUCCCCCACACUGGUACUGAGAUACGGACCAGACUCCUACGGGAGGCAGCAGUAGGGAAUAUUGGGCAAUGGGCGAGAGCCUGACCCAGCCAUGCCGCGUGCAGGAUGAAGGCCUUCUGGGUUGUAAACUGCUUUUGAUCGGGAACAAAACACCUAUGCGUAGGGAUUUGAGUGUACCGAUAGAAUAAGCACCGGCUAACUCCGUGCCAGCAGCCGCGGUAAUACGGAGGGUGCAAGCGUUGUCCGGAUUUAUUGGGUUUAAAGGGUGCGUAGGCGGCUUUUUAAGUCAGUGGUGAAAUCCAGCAGCUUAACUGUUGAAUUGCCAUUGAUACUGGAGAGCUUGAGUACAGACGAGGUAGGCGGAAUUUAUGGUGUAGCGGUGAAAUGCAUAGAUACCAUAAAGAACACCGAUUGCGAAGGCAGCUUACUAGGCUGUAACUGACGCUGAGGCACGAAAGUGUGGGGAUCAAACAGGAUUAGAUACCCUGGUAGUCCACACUGUAAACGAUGAUUACUCGAUGUGUGCGAUAGACAGUACGCGUCCAAGCGAAAGCGCAAGUAAUCCACC
rnacentral:rRNA from 1 species